rnacentral:rRNA from 1 species
UACAGAGGUCUCAAGCGUUGUUCGGAUUCAUUGGGCGUAAAGGGUGCGUAGGUGGCGCUGUAAGUCGGGUGUGAAAUCCUGGGGCUUAACCCCGGAACUGCAUUCGAUACUGCAGUGCUUGAGGACUGGAGAGGAGACUGGAAUUCAUGGUGUAGCAGUGAAAUGCGUAGAGAUCAUGAGGAAGACCAGUGGCGAAGGCGGGUCUCUGGACAGUUCCUGACACUGAGGCACGAAGGCCAGGGGAGCAAACGGG